rnacentral:rRNA from 1 species
UACGAAGGGGGCUAGCGUUGCUCGGAAUCACUGGGCGUAAAGGGUGCGUAGGCGGGUCUUUAAGUCAGGGGUGAAAUCCUGGAGCUCAACUCCAGAACUGCCUUUGAUACUGAAGAUCUUGAGUUCGGGAGGGGUGAGUGGAACUGCGAGUGUAGAGGUGAAAUUCGUAGAUAUUCGCAAGAACACCAGUGGCGAAGGCGGCCCACUGGAUCGGUACUGACGCUGAGGUGCGAAAGCGUGGGGAGCAAACAGG